CUUCUACCCUCAGGGCUACGGCAUCGCCUGCUACUCCGGGGCGCCCUUCCUUGGGGUCUUCAAUCAGAUGCUGGGUCGCAUGAUCUCGGCGGCCUGGUCAACAAGUGGGCCCAGGACGAGGUGCAGAAGGUGUCGAGGACGACCUCCUCCUCCAGGAAGGGCGUGGCCGGCGGUCCCUCGGCGAUCACCCUCGAGCACCUGCAGGCGGCAUUCUUCAUCCUACUCAUCGGGUUCCUCUUGUCGCUUCUCGCCUUGUUGCUGGAAAUCAUCGUCACCAAAAUAUAAAUAUUGGUUUAAUUCAUUUAUUCGACGAGAUUAUGAUAAAAGGAAAUUAUUGUUGUUGUUUUUAUUCGACAAGAUUAUAAUA